CCUACGGGUGGCAGCAGUGAGGAAUAUUGGUCAAUGGGCGCGAGCCUGAACCAGCCAAGUAGCGUGAAGGAUGACUGCCCUACGGGUUGUAAACUUCGUUUAUAAAGGAAUAAAGUGAGGCACGUGUGCCUCUUUGUAUGUACUUUAUGACUACGUAUCGGCUAACACCGUGCCAGCAGCCGCGGUAAUACGGAGGAUCCGAGCUUUAUCCGGAGUUAUUGGGUUUAAAGGGAGCGUAGAUGGGUUGUUAAGUCAGUUGGGAAAGUUUGCGGCUCAACCGUAAAAUUGCAAUUGAUACUGGCAGUCUUGAGUACAGUUGAGGUAGGCGGAACUCGUGGUGUAGCGGUGAAAUGCUUAGAUAUCACGAAGAACUCCGAUUGCGAAGGCAGGUUACUAAACUGCCACUGACAUUGAUGCUCGAAAGUGUGGGUAUCAAACAGGAUUAGAUACCCGAGUAGUC
rnacentral:rRNA from 1 species